AACAAACAUAAUAGAUUAGAGCAAAAGAGUCCUAACAAACUCAACUUCUAUUUUGCUUCUGUUGUGGCCAUCACUGAUAACAGGAAUUACAAAAGCUGAUGAAAUACGGGAUGAAGGGAGUGCUGCUGUAAUCUGGUGUAGCGGAAGGAAUGGCCACCUAGUUUCGCUUUCCAACUACAAACACCAUGGGGAUCUCGUGGUUUAAGCUAUUUGGACAGAUACAACUGUAA